rnacentral:rRNA from 1 species
GGUUUAGAACGUCGUGAGACAGUUCGGUCCCUAUCUGCCGUGGGCGCUGGAGAACUGAGGGGGGCUGCUCCUAGUACGAGAGGACCGGAGUGGACGCAUCACUGGUGUUCGGGUUGUCAUGCCAAUGGCACUGCCCGGUAGCUAAAUGCGGAAGAGAUAAGUGCUGAAAGCAUCUAAGCACGAAACUUGCCCCGAGAUGAGUUCUCCCUGAGACUUUAAGUCUCCUGAAGGAACGUUGAAGACGACGACGUUGAUAGGCCGGGUGUGUAAGCGCAGCGAUGCGUUGAGCUAACCGGUACUAAUGAACCGUGAGGCUUAACCUUACAACGCCGAAG